GACGAACGCUGGCGGCAUGCCUAAUACAUGCAAGUCGAACGAGCCCUUCGGGUCUUUUGGCGCACGGGUUCGUCACCCGUCGGAUCCUUCCCUUAUGUUCGGCCUACCUCCCCGACUGGGGUGCUAUUACCGGAUAAUUUCUUCUGACCAAAGAUUUAUCGCGUUUGGAUGUUCCCGCGUUGGAUUAGCUAUUUGGUAGGGUAAAAGCAUACCAAGGCGACGAUCCAUAGCUGGUAUGAGAGGAAGAUCAGCCACACUGGGACUGGGACACGGCCGAGACUCCUACGGGAGGGAGCAGUGGGGAACAUUGGAAAAUGGGGGAAAGCAUGAGCGAGCAAGGACGGGUGAGUGAUGAAGGCAUGAGGGUUGUAAAGCGCUAUUAACCGGGAAGAUAAUGACGGUACCGGGAGAAUAAGCUCCGGCUAACUACGUG
rnacentral:rRNA from 1 species